GCAGACCCUGAGAAGAACCAAAGCAGGAGAGGGGCUGCGGUGGGUGAGAGAGGCAAAGUGCCCUUUGAAGCAGGGGACGCCCUGCUGGCACUGCCUGUCGCAUCCACCGCCGGCGAGUUCCUCCUCUCUGCUCUCCUUUGGGCGGAUGGCCGUCUCGCAGGGGGCAAUCAGUCAUAACCCAUCAGCUUAGGAAGGUUCCUUUCCCACUCGUGGCACUGUCUGAAAGAGAUGCGGUGUGAGUGUGUAUACAUCGACUGAAAGCAUCGUGACCUUCUCUGUAACUCUUUUCUUGUGUUUUCUUUGUGUUACCAAUCGAGGCCUUGACUGAGUGAUAUUGUUAUUAAUAUAAUUGCUGCUGUAAGUUUAUUCUGUGGUAAUAGGGGAAAGAUCUAAGGGAGGAUGGAAAGCUAAAAAAAGAAACCUGUGAAUGUAUUUGGGGAUCUCUUUGGGGGUUUUGCUGAAUGCAUACAGAAUUUGCAUCUAAUAGGGUCAGUUUCUCUCAUUGCCUUUCUCUGUGCUUUAAUUACUGUUCCAUGCUUGUUGCAGUGUACACAAAAAAGGAUACAGGAUGCAACGAAUCGUGGCUUUUUUAUUAAGAAAGAAGGGGGAGAUGGAAGAUGUAACUGUGGAGGAGUCGCCAAAGAGCUUAACAGACUCCUUGAUAGCCCUCAUCACGGUGAAGCCGUGGGAGUCUGCAGUGUAAGACAAAGGACAGACGGCGCCAAAGGACAAACAGGAGGUGCUUUGGGGUGCACUGUCAGUCCUGUCACGACUGAGAAACCUUUCACCCUUUAUCAGUGCAGGUGGGAGAAGGUAGGGCCAACCAACUGUUAGAGGAACUUUUGCUUGCUUUUGUUUGUAAGUCGAGGGUAUGUAAGGUACAUGUAGAACAGAAUUAAGUUGUUCUGCUUUGAUGGCACACAAUCUGAGAGAGCUCUCUAACAGGGCAGAGCAACGACAAUGGCCUGGAUAUAAAAAUAUCUAGAAAGACUGGCUAAAAUGGAGAAGCAGUAGGGCAGUGUGCUGGAGGAACUGUCUCUACAGAGCCCAGAGGAGGGCCACUAAUGAUCACAGGGCUGGAGCACCUCUCCUAUGAGGAAAAGUAGUAGGAACUGGGCUUGUUUAGUAUGAGAAGGGAAGGCUCCGGAGAGAGUACAUUGUGGCCUUUCAGUACUUGAAGGGGGCGUAUAAACAGGAAAGGGAACAGGUGUUUAUGAUGGUGGACAGUGUUAGGUGAGGUUUCGAUUGGAUAUUAGGAGCUUUUUCAUCCAGAGGGUGGUGAUGCACUGAACAGGUUGCCCAAGGACGCUGUGGAUGCCCCAUCCCUGCAGGCAUUCAAGGCCAGGCUGGAUGUGG
rnacentral:lncRNA from 1 species